UACGGAGGGUGCAAGCGUUAUCCGGAUUCACUGGGCUUAAAGGGUGCGUAGGUGGGUCUGAGAGUCAGUGGUGAAAUCUCCGGGCUUAACCUGGAAACUGCCAUUGAUACUUCAGGUCUUGAAUUUUCUGGAGGUUAGCGGAAUAUGUCAUGUAGCGGUGAAAUGCUUAGAUAUGACAUAGAACACCAAGUGCGAAGGCAGCUAACUGCGGGGAUAUUGACGCUGAGGCACGAGAGCGUGGGGAUCAAACAGG
rnacentral:rRNA from 1 species